CGCAGGGUGGCGCAGAGGUAGCGUAGUUGGCUCAUAACCAACAGGUCGGAGGUUCGAUUCCUUCUCCUGCAACGA
rnacentral:tRNA from 1 species